rnacentral:misc_RNA from 1 species
GAUGAAGACGUAGCGAAAUGCGAUAAGUAGUGUGAAUUGCAGAAUUCAGUGAAUCAUCGAAUCUUUGAACGCACAUUGCGCCCUUUGGUAUUCCAAAGGGCAUGCCUGUUCGAGCGUCAUUUGUACCCUCAAGCUUUGCUUGGUGUUGGGCGUCUUGUCUCCAGUUCGCUGGAGACUCGCCUUAAAGUAAUUGGCAGCCGGCCUACUGGUUUCGGAGCGCAGCACAAGUCGCGCUCUCUUCCAGCCAAGGUCAGCAUCCACAAAGCCUUUUUUCAACUUUUGACCUCGGAUCAGGUAGGGAUACCCGCUGAACUUAAGCAUAUCAAUAAGCGGAGGA